GACCAACCCCAUGGAAGCACCUGUGAUGGUUUCCAAUACACCUCCUCCCCUCUGGAAAAAAGAGGUUGCUCUGAGCAUGACCCCUCCUGCCUGCUGACAGCAAGUGCUGGUUCAACACAGAUGCCUGGAGAAGAAUUAGUGAAAAGCUUUGUACAAGACUGCAGGGCAAAUUCAGGCUCAUGGAGCUUUUCCUGCUUUGACUGAAUCAUGACAUUCAGACUGGAGUCAUGUUUUCUCUGGCGGCAGCAGCACUGAGAUUUCUGAAGCAGAUGCUCUGUGAUCUUCAGCCACACCUGGAUAUCCUCUGUCAUCAGGUCAGGAAGAACCUUGGUCCUUUGUGUGCUGCACAGAGUCCUGCUUGCACAGAGAGGAAAUGAAGCCCUAGGAGGUUGUUUUCUAAUAUUCCUAAUUUGCACUGCAGAAGUCUGUGGAGUUGGGGCAAGAAAACAAAGCAGACCUGUCUGACCACUUGGAAACUUUCUACUUGUGAAUAUAGCUGCCAAUUCUGACACAGCCAGGGAGAAAGACAACUUCAAAAUGUGUUAUGUCUGGCUGGGAUGAGAGCCAGAUUAUUAACAGGAUGACUUGUUUUGUGAGAGCAAGAACAAAUCCAGACAAGAUUUGGAAGAGCUCUUUCAUCAGAUCAAAAUAUUUAUAAUGUCAGUGCCAAUCAGAUGAUGGAUCAAUGCACCUUCUUAGAGAAACAGCUGUAUU